ACGCUGUCACCGCGGGCUGCGGAGGCUGGGCGGGGCUUUCGGGCGCCCGCGGGAUGGUUCUGCCCUCUCACUGCACCCCCGGGCUUCUCUUCUGAAGGUUCACCUCGAAUGAGGAACGAGCGGGGAGGGAAGGGAAGGGCUGCGGCGGCGCGGGCACAGCCCGCCGGGCCCGGGGCUGGGGGAGGCCAGGUCACGUAACUGCUGCUCUGGCGUCGGGCUGGGGAGGGGGCACUAGCCCCACCAGGGCGAGCCCUGCGUGCGCCGCGGCUCGGAAACAGUUACCGGCUAGUAAACAACAGCUGCGCGCGCACCCGCAUCAGCUGGCGCUGGGAUACCGCACCUGCGACCUCCUUCUCCCUCAUCCCGCUGCUCACUCCUGCCCAGUCAGGCCAGCCUGAGCUGCCAUCUCCUUCUCUGCUGGGACCCGGUGGAAGAACGGCGAGGGGGUGACCUGCGCUGGGGCCGGGGUAGGAGUGAACGCGCCUCCCGGCAAAGGGGUGGCCCGUUCUGUCACAGGCGGGAGAAACCUAGCGAGCGGACCGUGGCUCAGUGGACUAGCAACGACCUGCCGCGACUCUGAGCUGCAGUCCGAGGUGUCUUGAUCCGUUAACCUCCUCCCACACCCCGGGGACCUUUCUGCCAGGAGAAGAGCGGGCGCGCCACCCCCGCAGACUUCUCGGAGACGGGAAUCCGCUCAGCCCCUCAUCCUCCUCUGCUCACCCUUCUCUCAGUAGUGUGGGUUAUUUUUCCCGUUAUGCAUGCGCACCUUUCCCACCAAAACCAAGUGGAUUAUCGACCACAAAAACACCGGGUGGCUUUGCACACACCUCCCCCCAGCCAGACCUGUGGGGUAUUCACCUGAUACACAACAGGUGGCCGGGUGUACAUCUUUUUGCAAUCUGACUCCACGCUGUAGUUGCCUGAUAAAGGUGGGCCUGCACGCACUUUGGUCAACCAGAACCGUGGGACACCCAUCAGAUAAAGGACUACCUCGACAGGAACCUGGGGGCUGAGGGGAGGGAGGCUUCAUCUGCUGCUCUGAGACCAUGGCACUGAACCUUUAGCCCUGGACCAGAGAGGAUAGCUAGAGAGCUCUUCAUUCUGAAGGAAAGAAGUCACACAAGAUUGGCAUUGUUUUGUCUUUUUGUUUUUUGGUUUUUUUCUCUCAAAAAAAAAAUAUAUAUAUUCACCUAUUGGUGGUGCACUUUCUGGGAUUGUCGGCUGGAAUUCUGAGUAGAAGGAUUCUUAGUUGGGGCUUUUUGUGUGGUGUGAAUCAAGGUUAUUGAGAUGUGUUUUUUCUCAAGUUAUCUUUUGUAUUAUUGCAGUCAGAAGUAGCGUAAGAGGACGAUUUUGCGAGGUUCCCCCCGCUUUUUUGUUGUUGUUGUUCGUAAAAAGGAAAAAAAAAAAUGCAUCCUCCAGAAACCACCACCAAGAUGGCUUCAGUUCGGUUCAUGGUGACACCGACAAAGAUCGAUGACAUUCCAGGUUUGUCAGACACCAGUCCGGACCUCAGCUCUCGAUCUAGUUCCCGAGUAAGAUUUAGCUCCCGAGAAAGUGUGCCUGAAACAAGUCGUAGUGAGCCUAUGAGUGAGAUGUCUGGGGCCACCACUUCGCUGGCAACUGUUGCACUGGAUCCACCCAGUGACCGGACUUCUCACCCCCAGGAUGUCACCGAGGACCUGAGUCAGAACUCCAUCACAGGGGAACACAGCCAGCUGUUAGAUGAUGGACAUAAGAAAGCUCGAAACGCUUACCUGAAUAAUUCCAAUUAUGAAGAAGGAGAUGAAUAUUUUGAUAAAAAUUUGGCACUCUUUGAGGAAGAAAUGGACACCAGACCGAAGGUGUCUUCUCUCCUCAACCGUAUGGCCAAUUACACUAAUCUGACUCAAGGAGCAAAGGAACAUGAAGAGGCAGAAAACAUCACUGAAGGGAAGAAGAAGCCCACCAAGACCCCCCAAAUGGGUACCUUCAUGGGUGUCUACCUCCCAUGUCUACAAAAUAUUUUUGGAGUGAUCCUUUUUUUACGCCUUACAUGGGUGGUGGGCACAGCUGGAGUUCUUCAGGCUUUUGCAAUUGUCCUUAUCUGCUGCUGCUGUACUAUAUUGACUGCUAUCUCCAUGAGUGCCAUUGCCACUAAUGGAGUGGUGCCAGCUGGGGGCUCAUACUUUAUGAUUUCCCGAGCACUGGGCCCAGAAUUUGGCGGGGCUGUUGGCCUCUGUUUUUAUCUUGGUACCACAUUUGCAGCAGCCAUGUACAUUCUUGGUGCCAUUGAAAUCUUUCUGGUAUAUAUCGUUCCCCGGGCUGCCAUCUUUCGCAGUGAUGAUGCACUCAAGGAAGCAGCAGCCAUGCUAAAUAACAUGCGUGUCUAUGGCACAGCUUUCUUGGUCCUUAUGGUAUUAGUGGUAUUUAUCGGCGUACGCUAUGUGAACAAGUUUGCCUCACUUUUUCUGGCCUGUGUCAUUGUGUCCAUCUUGGCCAUCUAUGCUGGAGCCAUCAAGUCUUCCUUUGCCCCUCCACACUUCCCGGUCUGCAUGCUGGGUAACCGCACCCUUUCAUCAAGACACAUUGAUGUUUGCUCUAAGACCAAGGAAAUUAACAACAUGACAGUCCCAUCAAAGUUAUGGAGAUUCUUUUGUAACUCGAGUCAAUUUUUCAAUGCCACCUGUGAUGAAUACUUUGUUCACAAUAAUGUCACUUCAAUCCAGGGCAUUCCUGGAUUGGCUAGUGGUAUCAUUACAGAGAAUCUUUGGAGUAAUUAUCUGCCCAAGGGAGAGAUCAUUGAAAAGCCAUCAGCCAAAUCUUCUGAUGUCUUAGGCAGCUUAAACCAUGAAUAUGUUCUUGUUGACAUCACCACCUCCUUCACGCUUCUAGUGGGAAUCUUCUUUCCCUCUGUUACAGGUAUCAUGGCUGGAUCAAACAGAUCUGGAGAUCUGAAAGAUGCUCAGAAGUCUAUUCCCAUUGGUACUAUCCUUGCCAUCCUGACCACCUCCUUUGUCUAUUUAAGCAACGUUGUCCUUUUUGGUGCAUGUAUUGAAGGGGUUGUUCUCAGAGACAAAUUUGGGGAUGCUGUGAAAGGUAAUUUGGUGGUGGGCACCUUAUCUUGGCCAUCCCCAUGGGUGAUUGUUAUUGGCUCCUUCUUUUCAACGUGUGGGGCUGGACUUCAGAGCCUCACAGGUGCACCAAGGCUGCUACAAGCUAUUGCUAAGGAUAACAUCAUACCAUUUCUAAGAGUUUUUGGCCACAGCAAAGCCAAUGGGGAACCUACCUGGGCUUUACUUCUAACUGCUGCCAUUGCAGAGCUUGGAAUACUUAUUGCCUCCCUGGAUCUUGUGGCCCCAAUUCUUUCCAUGUUUUUUCUCAUGUGUUACCUCUUUGUAAACUUGGCAUGUGCCUUGCAAACAUUACUUCGAACACCCAACUGGAGACCCCGAUUCCGCUACUACCAUUGGGCCCUUUCUUUCAUGGGAAUGAGUAUCUGUCUGGCUCUGAUGUUCAUUUCUUCCUGGUAUUAUGCCAUUGUAGCCAUGGUAAUAGCUGGUAUGAUCUACAAGUACAUUGAGUACCAAGGAGCUGAGAAAGAAUGGGGUGAUGGUAUCCGGGGGCUGUCCCUCAGUGCAGCCCGGUUUGCUUUGCUUCGGUUGGAGGAAGGACCUCCACACACUAAAAACUGGAGGCCUCAGUUGCUUGUAUUACUGAAACUAGAUGAAGACUUACAUGUCAAGCAUCCUCGCCUCCUCACCUUUGCCUCACAGCUCAAAGCAGGAAAAGGUCUUACUAUUGUGGGCUCUGUCAUCGUGGGGAACUUCCUAGAGAACUAUGGUGAAGCUUUAGCUGCUGAGCAGACCAUAAAGCACCUAAUGGAGGCAGAGAAGGUAAAAGGAUUCUGCCAGCUGGUGGUGGCCGCCAAACUGAGAGAGGGCAUUUCCCACCUCAUCCAGUCAUGUGGCCUUGGGGGCAUGAAGCACAACACAGUGGUGAUGGGCUGGCCUAAUGGCUGGCGUCAAAGCGAAGAUGCCCGCGCUUGGAAGACUUUCAUUGCAAUGUGGAACAAUUUUCUGAAGGCAACAUUGAUGUGUGGUGGAUUGUGCAUGAUGGGGGGAUGCUCAUGCUACUACCAUUCCUACUGAAACAGCACAAGGUGUGGCGAAAGUGCAGCAUACGGAUCUUCACAGUAGCCCAACUAGAAGACAACAGUAUCCAGAUGAAGAAGGACCUAGCCACCUUCCUGUAUCACUUGCGCAUUGAGGCGGAGGUAGAAGUGGUGGAGAUGGUGAGAAAGCUGAGUUUGAGAUACAAGAGCAUGACAGUGACAUAUCAGCUUAUACUUAUGAGCGCACUUUGAUGAUGGAGCAGAGGUCCCAGAUGCUCCGGCACAUGCGGCUAUCCAAAACAGAGCGAGACAGAGAGGCACAGUUGGUGAAAGAUCGAAACUCAAUGCUACGAUUGACCAGCAUUGGCUCUGAUGAGGAUGAAGAGACAGAAACCUAUCAGGAGAAGGUACACAUGACUUGGACAAAAGACAAGUACAUGGCAUCCCGGGGGCAAAAAGCCAAGUCAAUGGAAGGAUUUCAGGACCUGCUUAACAUGCGUCCAGACCAGUCCAAUGUGAGGCGGAUGCAUACAGCAGUUAAACUCAAUGAGGUUAUAGUUAACAAGUCCCAUGAAGCAAAGCUGGUUUUAUUGAAUAUGCCAGGGCCACCACGAAACCCCGAGGGUGAUGAAAACUACAUGGAGUUCCUAGAGGUGCUUACCGAGGGACUAGAGCGAGUCCUGCUUGUCCGGGGUGGUGGCAGUGAAGUGAUCACCAUUUAUUCAUAAUCUACUCUGAAUGACUGUGCUUGGCCUGUUUUCUUAAAAAGACCUACAUCCUCCAUGGAAGUGCCAGCUCAUUACUACCACUCCCACUCAACUAGAAGCCUGUGUUGUAUACGCAUCACACUGAACUCUUGAUGAGCUGAGCUUCAAGUACCUGUGUUAAAGAGCUCCCAUCUGAUCUACAGUCCUUACAGAAAAAGCAAGUACUCCCUCAACAUCAGAACAAUGUUCAAGUCUUAGGAGCCACGUCUGACCAGUCAAAGGCAAGUUAGAAUUAACAAGCUGAGCCAAUAAAUGAAUUGGUAAAAGGGAUGCUAGAAAUUCAACUGAAGAAAAAAAGUCAAGUACAUAUUCGACAUUAAAGAUGAAUCUCAGAAGCCAUGGUUCAAUGAUGGCACUGUGGGGAUGACCACCAGACACAGCUUCAUCUUACUGAAGAAUUUAUGGUCAAGUAUAUGUGGACCUAUUAUCCUUGGCAAGCCAAGAUGCGAACAUUUUUUAGCUCUAUUUCUUUAGUAUACCCACUGCUCUAAUUUUAUAUUAGGAUACUAAUGUACAAAACUUGAAACACAGCUGCAGCCUCUACUUCUUCAUAAAUAUUUCCCCCAAAAACCAGAUUUAAGUAUC